GACGAACGCUGGCGGCGUGCCUAACACAUGCAAGUCGAGCGAUGAAAUUAGAAACGGAGUCUUCGGACAAAGAGGAAAAUGGAUUAGCGGCGGACGGGUGAGUAACACGUGAGCAACCUGCCUAUCACAUCGGGAUAGCCUCGGGAAACUGGGAUUAAUACCGAAUGAAACAUAAUCACUGCCUAGUGGAAAUGUCAAAGAUUUAUCGGUGAUAGAUGGGCUCGCGUCUGAUUAGCUAGUUGGUGAGGUAAUGGCUCACCAAGGCGACGAUCAGUAGCCGGCCUGAGAGGGUGAACGGCCACAUUGGGACUGAGACACGGCCCAAACUCCUACGGGAGGCAGCAGUGGGGAAUAUUGCACAAUGGAGGGAACUCUGAUGCAGCGACGCCGCGUGAGCGAUGAAGGC
rnacentral:rRNA from 1 species